AUGUCUGGUGAUUUUCGUAGGGAGAGCAUAAGUGAUGAAGCAGUCGAGAAACUGGUGCUUGGAGAUAUUCAAGAUUUGUUAUAUUCCAUGGGAAAGGACAUCAAGACCUUUGAUCUUCCAAAUCUGUUGGAUGCUGAUGACCUAGAUAUCUUAGAUGCUAAAAAACUGACUGAAGAAAUGUCUAUUAAAGUUGCUAAAGAAGACCUGGAGCUGGAGGCAACUCUAAACAAUGAAUAA
rnacentral:rRNA from 1 species